ACAGCACCAGCCAGGUUAUCCUUGGAAACACAGGAUAGACCCACCUCCUUAUGUUCCCCAGGUAUCAAGACACUCGUCCACCAGCAAAACGAGUCUGGGCAACUGAUGAUUUCCACACGGCAUCAAAUUCUCCACCUAAAAAGCCUUUCCACAACACAAAUGAAGAACUACUGACAGAGGAGCUACAGAGCAAUGCAGUUCAGCACUUCUGGUGUGUCAGUGCAACUCAUUGUCAAAGUGAUGAAAGGUACACAGAAUUCUCUCGAAAUCAUCAGUGCACAUGUAAUGCCCUCACAUUCCUGGCCUACCUUAAUGAGGAACACCAGUUCAACACAGCCCGACUUGAUAAGGUGCUUGAACAGGGAGAUGCACUCUACUGUUGGAUUAAAACAAAUCUUCAGCAGGAGGGGCGUUAUACACAAUCAUCUGACCAUAGAGGAACUGCCCAAAAAAGUUCAUGCUGACAUAAAUGUCUACAGUGUGAAA
rnacentral:lncRNA from 1 species